AGCGAACGCUGGCGGCAGGCUUAACACAUGCAAGUCGAGCGGGCACUUUCGGGUGUCAGCGGCGGACGGGUGAGUAACGCGUGGGAACGUGCCCUCUGGUUCGGAAUAACUCAGGGAAACUUGAGCUAAUACCGGAUACGCCCUUUUGGGGAAAGGCUUGCUGCCGGAGGAUCGGCCCGCGUCUGAUUAGCUAGUUGGUGAGGUAACGGCUCACCAAGGCGACGAUCAGUAGCUGGUCUGAGAGGAUGAUCAGCCACACUGGGACUGAGAUACGGCCCAGACUCCUACGGGAGGCAGCAGUGGGGAAUAUUGGACAAUGGGCGCAAGCCUGAUCCAGCCAUGCCGCGUGAGUGAUGAAGGCCUUAGGGUUGUAAAGCUCUUUUAUCCGGGACGAUAAUGACGGUACCGGAGGAAUAAGCCCCGGCUAACUUCGU
rnacentral:rRNA from 1 species